AAUAUGUGUAUUAAUAUUAAUGUGAAAGUGCCAAAGUGUUGAGGUUUUGUGUAGAAGAAGCGAGGAAAGAGCCGACUCUUCCUCUUCUUUUGCUCUCAACGACUUCUUCUUCUCAAUUAUUCACGAGAAAAGUGGUCAGUCAGGGGAGAAGAGCUCUGCACGUAUUCUCGUUGCUUUAGUAGCUUUCAACACUUUGAAGAUC
ensembl:ncRNA C29A12.20 ncRNA